rnacentral:rRNA from 1 species
UACAGAGGGUGCGAGCGUUAAUCGGAAUUACUGGGCGUAAAGCGCGCGUAGGCGGCUUUGCAAGUCGGGUGUGAAAUCCCCAGGCUUAACCUGGGAACUGCAUUCGAGACUGCAUUGCUAGAGUAUGGGAGAGGGAAGUGGAAUUUCCGGUGUAGCGGUGAAAUGCGUAGAUAUCUGGAGGAAUACCGGUGGCGAAGGCGGCGUUCUGGACUGCAACUGACACUGAGAAACGAAAGCCAGGGUAGCAAACGGG